rnacentral:rRNA from 1 species
CAGCCGCCGCGGGAAUACGUAGGUGGCAAGCGUUGUCCGGAAUUACUGGGCGUAAAGCGCACGUAGGCGGAUAUUUAAGUCAGGGGUGAAAUCCCAGAGCUCAACUCUGGAACUGCCUUUGAUACUGGGUAUCUUGAGUAUGGAAGAGGUGAGUGGAAUUCCGAGUGUAGAGGUGAAAUUCGCAGAUAUUCGGAGGAACACCAGUGGCGAAGGCGGCUCACUGGUCCAUUACUGACGCUGAGGUGCGAAAGCGUGGGGAGCAAACAGGAUUAGAUACCCCUGUAGUCCCUGUCUCUUAUAC